GAUGGUGCGGUUACGGCUUCACCAGCUAGAAUAUACGCUAUUAAGUCUCAAAGGAACUCAAUUCUCUCACCGGUCAGAAGGCCAGGUGUAAACACAUUAACAAUG
ncrna:unclassified sequences RT-9 RNA